rnacentral:tRNA from 1 species
GGAGAGAUGCCGGAGUGGUCGAUCGGGGCGGUCUCGAAAACCGUUGAACGCAUUGCGUUCCAAGGGUUCGAAUCCCUUUCUCUCCG